rnacentral:lncRNA from 1 species
AAAUGAAGAUAGUGAACAAAAUAAGAAAAUAAGGAAGUUAUAAUUAGCCAAAGAAUCAUCCUCAAACAAUGUAAUUCUUAGAGUUGAUAGCUUCAAACUCAUCAUCAGUUCUCCAAUUUAAACUCUAAACAGCCUUCAAUAUCCCUUGUGCCGACCCAAUCCUUGUGUACUUCGAGUUUAAUCUUCAAACAUGGACCAAAUUUAACAAGCAUCAAUUUCCAAUCCAAUCAUAAUAUCACAUAUAUGCCCAAAAUUACUAAACCCAACUCAAGCCUGUCAACAAGAAGUUAGUAUCUUAAGUAAGCUUAAAGCAUAGCCAGGAGAGCUAUGGAGUUGGAUUUAAUCAAAGAAGCCUUUACCAUAGACAUAAAAAGAGAUAACCAAAGUAAGAGUAUGGUGAAUAGUAAAAGUUGUAGAGAAUAUGUAUCAAGAAAAGAGAAUUAGGACAUAAAUGGUUCCAUUAUUUGAAAACUAGGUUUACAAUCAUACACCUCAAAAUAUUUUAAACUGAGCUAACAUACAAGUCUUAAAACAUUUUCAAAUGAGAAACUCGACUCAAAAUCAUAUCAACAUAUUGUCAGAAUAACAUGAAGCAUCCACUCAUCUGCGAUACACAAUAAUUAUUAUUUAAAACCUCAUUGAGCAAUCACAUACAUUUCACGAAAAGUAGUCAUAUCAUUAUGCACUUGCAAGCACCAGGGCUGAAUCCUUACAGUUUAUUGUGACGUCUCGAGUGCAAUCUAACUCUUGUUCGAAUGUCAAACAUAUAGAGAACUUUGGUCCAUUGUGGAUCUUGUUCGAACCAUUCAAAUACUUUGAUAAUUCUUUAGCAAAAUCUAUUUUAGUAUGUUUUAAACUCGCAUCAUUGUGUUCGAGACCGACAACCAAUAUGCUACUUGAUGUAUUUGACAUGUGAAUUGAUGAUGCAUGAGUGAACACGUGCGACUCGGUACAUAUGCAGACUACUGAAAGACCAUUAGACACAAGGCUCAAGUUCAAAACUUAGAGAAAAUGACAACGCCAUUUAAAAAACAGUUUCAAUCAUCUUUUCAAUGCUUACAAUAUGUUCAAAGCAAUAUAGAUACAUACUUUAUUUAUAGGUUCAUUUCAAACUCUAAUGGACCAUAAUUCUCUAAAUAUCGGACUUAUCAA